GUCUGCCUCACCUCCUCUCUGGCACCACCUCUCUGCCUUUCAUUCUCUGUCUUGUUUCUGUUUCUUUCCCUCUCUUUUCUUUAUUUUCCUCUCUCUCUCUGAUUGCUUUAUAGUCUUAUUUAUCACAUCCUCCCUUUCUUUACUCUCCAUCCUGUGCAAAGAAUUUUUCCCCUGCUGCCUCCAGACAAAGUUGGUGGAGAAGAAUGAAUUUUUCAUUUGUUUUUCCAUAUUCUGCUCCUGUACCCAAGAAAGUGGAACUCAGGUCCCUCUGUAUGUGUCUGGAGAUAUGACACACCUCGAUCUCUCAGUUUUGCUUUGUCACUUCCCAUAAAAGUAAAACCCGUUCAGAAAGUCAGGCGCCAGGCCCGGGGAAUCAGAACGGCAAGCCCAUUGGCACAUCCAGCGAACCUCGCCCUGAUGGCAGCCACAGGAGAUGGGGAGCUUCCUUUGCCUUCUGUCCCACCGGAAGGGUGGAGUCAAUUUCCAAAAGGACAAAGAUGGAAGCUGCAAGGUCUCUUGACACCUAGGCCCCGAAGUUGCACAGCAUCACGUCUGCCACAUUCUGUCGGUCAAAGCAAGUCACAAAGCCGGCUGAGAUGCAAAAGGUGAGGAAACAGAUGCCACCUCUUAACGAGAGAAGCUGAAAAUAUUGUGGCCAUGUUUUACCGUCUACCACACACACAAUCCACAAUUCAGCAAUUCUAUUUCUAAAUGUGUAGCCUAGACCCAGAGAGACUCUUAUACAAACUGACAGGAACAAGAAUGUUCAUUAUAGCAUCCUGUGUUACGGCAAAAUCGAAAACAAAAAUGCCCACCACUGGGAGAAUAUAUAGAUGAAAAAUGGCAUGUUCAUGCACUGGAAAACUAUACAGCAAUUGAUAAAGGAACUAGAUCUCUAUUUGCAACUCGGAUGAAUCAAAGAUUAUGCUGAUUGGGAAAAACAAGCUGUAGAACGAAAUGUAUGAAAAAUUAGCCAGGCAUGGUGGUGCAUUCCUGUAAUCCCAGCUACUUGGGAGGCUGAGACGGGAGAAUCGCUUGAACCCAGCAGGUAGCGGUUGCAGUGAGCCAAGAUUGAGCCACUGCACUCCAGCCUGGGUGACAGAGGAAGACUCUGUCUCAAAAAAAAAAAAAAAAAAGAAAAGAAGAAGAAGAAGAAGAAGAAUUAAAUGUAUAGUAUGAUAUAAUUUUAAGGAAAAAAUUUCAAAUACAAAGACAAUACUGUAUAUUAUUUUCAUAUACAUACGCAUGUAAAAGGCUAGGAGGUAAUUGAAGUGUUCAGCAUUAAUGAGAUGAGAUUCUGUACAAUGGGGAGAAGUGGAAUGGGCAUGGAGUGAAGCCGGACUGGACUAAUGAGGGCAUGUCAUCUCUAACAGAGGAGAAAGAUGAGUAAAUAGAUUCGUCCAGUUUGUGCUCUUGAGAUCCGCACAUACAGAACAAUUUCAAAAUAAGAAGACAAACUUGAGAGGGAGCCACGAAGGAAGAAGAUAAAGAGGGAUAACUGACCGAGGGAGAUUUGCAGAAGGUUGAAGGAGGGUUAGCAACACAUGUUGCGGUAGGAGCCUCGUUCCUGUGGGAGAGCCAACACAUACAGACAAUUCAUACUCAGUGCUUUCCUUUUAAAAAAGUGUUGCUUAUGGCUGGGCACAGUGGCUCAUGCCUGUAAUCCCAGCACUUUGGGAGACUAAGGUAGGGUGGAUCACUUGAGGCCAGGAGUUCAAGACCAGCCUGGCCAACAUGGUGAAACCCUGUCUCUACUAAAAAUGCAAAAAUAAAAAUAAAAAUUAGCCAGACAUGGUGGUACAUGCCUGCAAUCCCAGCUACUUGGGAGGCUGAGGCAGGAAGAUCACUUGAACUGGGG
rnacentral:lncRNA from 1 species